UGGCACCCUAACUCAGUGUCAGACCCAUCUUAGAAUAGAUGGAAAGACGAUAAGACGAUGAUGGAUGCACACGGGCCAGCGCACAUCGGCCGCGGCCGGUGUUUGUGAUGCCUUUGCGUCUUCUCCGCCUUCCACCACCGCCACCUUCUUCACCUCGCUUCACGCACGCGCUCUUCCGUCAUUGAUGCUGUGCUGUGCAGACGUACUGCACAUAUACACGUACAACGAUGUGUGUGUAUAUGGACAGUACGUGUGAGCGCGCGUGUCUGGGGCUUGUUGUGUGCGCUUCUGUGUGUUGGUUUCUUCGUGCCCACCCCCUCUUUUCUCAUCUCGCCACCUGCUCCCAUCUCCCCUUGCGAUCAAAAUAUCUCGCUCUCGCUCUGUAAGUGCGUGCGUGUGCGUGUGAGCUGUUACUUUUCAUGUCUUUGAUCACGCUGACUUCUUCGCACGCCAUUCUUCGCUUCUCCUGUUCGCCUCUCUCCUUCUCCUGAAUCGAAGCGCGUCGUGGUAUCACGCUCUCGCUCCUCACCAGCGUCAUGCUCUUCCACGUGUGCGAGUCGGCCGGUGUCGAGAGGCGGGUGGAUGAAAGAGGCCGUUGUGUGUUAGGUUUUAGGCUUUUCUUACCUGUUGCGUGGGUCUUCCAUUGCUGCCGCGGCUCGGGUUUGUGUCGAGCCCAAGGGCACCUAUGUAGGCACAGCGAAUGGCAUGGGGAGAUGGGAGGCGUUAGAUGAGGUGGACGGGUGGGCGGGUUUGAGAGGAGAAGGGGAGACAGGGUAGCGACAACGGAGAAGUCAAGAGGAGCUCUCGUGUAGGCAUGAGAGCUGCAGGGGCCAACACAUGGGGCACCGCCGUCUCUGCUUGUUCCUCCUCUGCUCAUAUCACUCUUUCGAAAGCAGCAAGGAAGGAAUCAAAACACGAUAUUCGACGAAGCAAAAGGACGCCGAAGCCGUCUGCAGUGAUGCCACGUCUCUCCUCCGGUCGUUCUUUCGCCUUUUCUCUGUCGGUUUGUGUGCGUCCCUCGCGCCGUGCUUCAAGGCGCGAAACGCAGGAGCGCCAACUGAUGCACACAUACCACAGACGGAUGGCGACGAAGAAACAAAAAGUGAACCCUCAUACUAAGAUAGGCAAGCAGGCGCGCACACACCCACGCACACGCACACACACACACACACACACACAUGCACACCACUGCGCCCACGUAAGUUUAUCGUUGAAAGCGAAAG
rnacentral:misc_RNA from 1 species